UACGUAGGGGGCGAGCGUUGUCCGGAUUUAUUGGGCGUAAAACGCUUGUAGGCGGCCACCGCGCGUCGGCUGUGAAAUCUCCCGGCUCAACUGGGGAGGGUCACGCGAUACUGAUCGACUCGAAGGCAGGAGAGGGAAGUGGAAUUCCCGGUGUAGUGGUGAAAUGCGUAGAUAUCGGGAGGAACACCAGUGGCGAAGGCGACUUCCUGGCCUGUUCUUGACGCUGAGGCGCGAAAGCUAGGGGAGCAAACGGG
rnacentral:rRNA from 1 species